rnacentral:tRNA from 1 species
GCCCGGAUGGUCUAGUGGUAUGAUUCCUCGUUCGGGCAACAAGAAAACCCCCUUGUGCAAAACUCGGAGAUCGAGGAGGUCCCGCGUUCGAAUCGCGGUUCGGGCC